GGGGAAAGACGUCUGUAGCAGGAGAGAAGCUAAGGAAUUUGGAAAGGGCCCAACCAGGAUGGCUUGUCUCUGCGCCACAAUGACAGAAGCUUCAUCUGGGAAGAUUCAAAGGCUGGAGGUGGAACCAGCUGCUGUAUCAAGAAAACACUCAAGCAGCCCUUUGGAGAGGUCCACAUGAUGAGAAAUUGAGACCUCCUGCCAACAAUCAAGUAAAAAAAUCAUCUUGGAAGUGGAUCUUCCAGCCCCAGUUCAGAUUUUAAAUGACUAUUGCCCCAGCCAAUAUCUUGAUAGUGACAUCAUGAGAGAUCCUGAGCCAGAGCCACCCAGUUAAGUUGCUCCCUAAUUUCUC